rnacentral:rRNA from 1 species
AAUGAACGUUGGCGGCGUGGAUUAGGCAUGCAAGUCGCGCGACAAGCUCCCUUCGGGGAGUGGAGGAGCGGCAAACGGGGUAGUAAGGCGUCGGAACAUACCCUCCAGUCUGGAAUAGCUGCGGGAAACUGCAGGUAAUGCCGGAUAAUCUCUAGCGAGCAAAGGUCCGCCGCUGGAGGAGUGGCCGACGUGGUACCAGGUAGUUGGUGAGGUAAAAGCUCACCAAGCCGAAAACGCCUAGGGGGUGUGAGAGCACGACCCCCACCACUGGGACUGAGACACUGCCCAGACACCUACGGGUGGCUGCAGUCGAGAAUCUUCGGCAAUGGGCGCAAGCCUGACCGAGCGACGCCGCGUGCGGGAUGAAGGCCCUUGGGUUGUAAACCGCUGUCAGAGGGGAGGAAGGCGAAAGCUUGACCGAACCUCAGAGGAAGCACGGGCUAAGUUCGUGCCAGCAGCCGCGGUAAUACGAACUGUGCGAACGUUAUUCGGAAUCACUGGGCUUACGA